rnacentral:tRNA from 1 species
GGGCUGGGGCUCAGUGGUAGAGCGCUUGCCUAGCAUGCGUGAGGCACUGGGUUCAAUCCUCAGCACCACA